GAAUCAGCCACUGGAGAACCCAAAUCACUGCUGCAAGCCCAGCCCAUCUUCCGGGUCCACCUCAGAGACGUUUCCUCCGAGAAGCCCUCCCUGCUCCCAGCCGUGUCUCCGUCAUCUCUGUCUGGGUACAUGUCCCUCUUCUCCCGACCCUGUGGACUGCUCGAGAGCAGAGAUCCAAUCUUGCCGACAGCUGUGUCCCCACAGCGCUCAGUAAGUACCAGUGCACAGUACUUCCUCACGUCUGUGGGAAACAAGAAGGAAGGCUUCCUGGCACACGCGCCAGACGCAGAGCCACUCCAGGCAGUGCCCUCAGCUCGAAGGUCUGGAUGGAAGGGGCACUGCUCCUGCUUCCAAACGCACCGAUCCUCAGUUUUGAACUCACCCACCAUCGGUUCCGUCCUUUCACCGCUCCUCAUUUGGCUACUUUGGUCUAACUUUCAG
rnacentral:lncRNA from 1 species